UACGGAGGGGGCUAGCGUUGUUCGGAAUUACUGGGCGUAAAGCGCGCGUAGGCGGACCUGCAAGUCGGGGGUGAAAGCCCGAGGCUCAACCUCCGGAACUGCCUUCGAUACUGCGGGUCUCGAGUCCGGGAGAGGUGAGUGGAAUUCCGUAGUGUAGAGGUGAAAUUCGUAGAUAUUCGCAAGAACACCAGUGGCGAAGGCGGCUCACCUGGCCCGG
rnacentral:rRNA from 1 species